CAAAGGCUUGGUCCUAGCUUUUCUGUUAGUUAUAAUUAAACCUACACAUGCAAGUUUCCGCUAACCAGUGAGAAUGCCCUUAAAAUUGAAUUCAAUUACUAGGAGCAGGUAUCAGGCACACUCUGAGUAGCCCACAACACCUUGCUUAACCACACCCCCACGGGACACAGCAGUGACUAAAAUUAAGCAAUAAACGAAAGUUUGACUAAAUUACAAUUAAUUAGGGUUGGUAAAUCUCGUGCCAGCCACCGCGGUCAUACGAUUAACCCAAAUAAACAGAAAAACGGCGUAAAGCGUGUUUAAGUAUUCUUCCAACAAUAAAGCUAAUAUCUUACCCGGCUGUAAUACGCACCAGUUAGCAUUAAAAUAAAUUACUAAAGUAGCUUUACUAAAACUGAACACACGAUAGCUAAGAAACAAACUGGGAUUAGAUACCCCACUAUGCUUAGCCCUAAACUUAAAUAAUUAAUUAACAAAAUUAUUCGCCAGAGAACUACUAGCUACUGCUUAAAACUCAAAGGACUUGGCGGUGCUCUAUACCCAUCUAGAGGAGCCUGUUCUAUAAUCGAUAAACCCCGAUAAACCUCACCCCUUUUUGCUAAUACAGCCUAUAUACCGCCAUCGUCAGCCCACCUCAACAGAGAACCAAAGUAAGCAAAACUAUUACCAUAAAAACGUUAGGUCAAGGUGUAGCAUAUAAAGGGGAAAGUAAUGGGCUACAUUUUCUAUCACAGAACAUAACGAAAUACCUCUUGAAAUCUGAGAUAUCGAAGGAGGAUUUAGUAGUAAAUUAAGAAUAGAGAGCUUAAUUGAACCUGGCAACAGAGCGCGCACACACCGCCCGUCACCCUCCUCAAUUAACUUUAACAAAUAACUAAUAACCUAUCAUAACAAAAGAGGAGAAAAGUCGUAACACGGUAAGUGUACUGGAAAGUGCACUUGGAAUAUC
rnacentral:ncRNA from 1 species